AUUGAACGCUGGCGGCAGGCCUAACACAUGCAAGUCGAGCGGAUGAAGGGAGCUUGCUCCUGGAUUCAGCGGCGGACGGGUGAGUAAUGCCUAGGAAUCUGCCUGGUAGUGGGGGAUAACGUCCGGAAACGGGCGCUAAUACCGCAUACGUCCUGAGGGAGAAAGUGGGGGAUCUUCGGACCUCACGCUAUCAGCUGAGCCUAGGUCGGAUUAGCUAGUUGGUGGGGUAAAGGCCUACCAAGGCGACGAUCCGUAACUGGUCUGAGAGGAUGAUCAGUCACACUGGAACUGAGACACGGUCCAGACUCCUACGGGAGGCAGCAGUGGGGAAUAUUGGACAAUGGGCGAAAGCCUGAUCCAGCCAUGCCGCGUGUGAAGAAGGUCUUCGGAUUGUAAAGCACUUUAAGUUGGGAGGAAGGGCAGUAAGUUAAUACCUUGCUGUUUUGGCGUUACCAACAGAAUAAGCACCGGCUAACUUCGUG
rnacentral:rRNA from 1 species